rnacentral:rRNA from 1 species
ACGUAGGGGGCGAGCGUUGUCCGGAAUGACUGGGCGUAAAGGGGGCGUAGGCGGCCAGAUCAGUGGUGGGUGAAAACGCGGGGCUCAACCUUGCGGGGUCCCAUCAAACAGUCUGGCUUGAGGGCGCAAGAGGGCAGUGGAAUUCCCGGUGUAGCGGUGAAAUGCGUAGAAAUCGGGAGGAACACCAGUGGCGAAGGCGACUGCCUGGGGCGUACCUGACGCUGAGGCCCGAAAGCUGGGGGAGCAAACAG